AUAGCCGACCCUAAAUUUUUUAGAAAAAGACUUAGUUGAGUUGAGUGAUUUAAGUGAUUUUUGUGUACAUGUAUUUGGAAGAAGAAGAAGAAAUUGUUCUUAGAUUCUUGCAGUUGUUUAUGCUGUAUUCUAAACUUGGUUGAAUGGAGGAAAAUGGUUUAUAUAUCCUGCCCAAAUUGGUACUAAGGUUUGAAUUGAGUAUAUUUGCUGUGUUGUUUGGUAGCCUGUAGUGCAUGACAUGACUGAUCCAUUGCUUCUCUGCUUCUCCUUUUCCCAUUUUGUAUAUGUUGGUUCAUGUAUGCUAAUGUUUUUAUAUGCUGAGGAUAUGUGCCAGUAUUUUAUUAGGAGCAAAAAGCAUUAAGCAACACUGAGAUUGAAGUUUCUUUUGAGUAAUAGGUGAAGCGGUUACUUGAUAAA
rnacentral:misc_RNA from 1 species